UACGUAGGGACCGAGCGUUGUCCGGAAUCAUUGGGCGUAAAGAGCGUGUAGGCGGCUAUUUAAGUCCUGCGUGAAAUCCUGCGGCUCAACCGCAGACGGUCGUGGGAAACCGUGUGGCUAGAGUCCGGAAGAGGAGAGUGGAAUUCCCGGUGUAGCGGUGAAAUGCGCAGAUAUCGGGAAGAACACCCGUGGCGAAGGCGGCUCUCUGGGACGGUACUGACGCUGAGACGCGAAAGCGUGGGGAGCGAACAGG
rnacentral:rRNA from 1 species